AGGACGAACGCGUGGCGGCGUGCUUAACACAUGCAAGUCAAGGGGGCCUACGCCAAGGGGCAACCGGCGAACGGGUGCGUAACACGUGAGCGACCUUCCGUCUUCUGGGGAUAGCCGGCCCAACGGCCGGGCAAUACCGCAUACGCUGCUUUUCGGGCAUCCGAGGAGCAGGAAACUUCCGGGGGAGGACGAGGGGCUCGCGGCCUAUCAGCUAGUUGGCGGGGUAACGGCCCACCAAGGCGACGACGGGUAGCUGGUCUGAGAGGACGACCAGCCACACUGGAACUGAGACACGGUCCAGACUCC
rnacentral:rRNA from 1 species